UACGGAGGAUGCAAGCGUUAUCCGGAAUGAUUGGGGGUAAAGAGUUCGUAGGUGGCUGUGUAAGUUUGUUGUCAAAGAGCAAAGCUCAACUUUGUAAAGGCAGUGGAAACUACACGGCUAGAGUGCGUUCGGGGCAGAGGGAAUUCCUGGUGUAGCGGUGAAAUGCGUAGAGAUCAGGAAGAACACCGGUGGCGAAGGCGCUCUGCUAGGCCGCAACUGACACUGAGGGACGAAAGCUAGGGGAGCGAAUGGG
rnacentral:rRNA from 1 species